AUACUGCUCAGGUGAUGGGUGCACCAAAAUCUCACAAAUCACUACCAAAGAACUUACUUAUGUAACCAAAUGCUACCUGUACCCCAAUAACCUAUGGAAACAUAAAAUAAAAAAUAAAAAGUGGGCAAAGGACAUGAACAGAACAUCUCAAAAGAGGACAUACCUGCGGCCAACACAUAUAUGAAAAAGUGCUCAACAUCAGUAAUCAUUAGAGAAAUGCAAAUCAAAAUCACAAUGAGUUACU
rnacentral:lncRNA from 1 species